CCUACGGGAGGCAGCAGUGAGGAAUAUUGGUCAAUGGCCGGAAGGCUGAACCAGCCAUGCCGCGUGAAGGUCAGUGCCCUAUGGGCGUUAAACUUCUUUUGUGCGGGAGCAAUAAUGGUCACGUGUGGCCAGACGAGAGUACCGUACGAAUAAGCAUCGGCUAACUCCGUGCCAGCAGCCGCGGUAAUACGGGGGAUGCAAGCGUUAUCCGGAUUUAUUGGGUUUAAAGGGUGCGUAGGCUGUGAGGUAAGUCAGCGGUGAAAUGCCCCCGCUCAACGGGGUGAAGUGCCAUUGAUACUGCCUGGCUGGAAUGCGGAUGCCGUGGGAGCAAUGUGUGGUGUAGCGGUGAAAUGCAUAGAUAUCACACAGAACACCGAUUGCGAAGGCAUCUCACGAAUCCGCGAUUGACGCUGAUGCACGAAAGCGUGGGUAUCAAACAGGAUUAGAUACCCCAGUAGUC
rnacentral:rRNA from 1 species